rnacentral:lncRNA from 1 species
AUACGAUUGAGUCAUUGGGUUUCCGAAAUAGUGUAAAAAGAAGCGCUUCGAAUCAUUGCUAUUUGACUCGGACCUGUUUUAAAAAAGUCGAGGUAUUUCGAAUUGUUUGUUGACACAGACAAAGUCAAGGAAAACCUCUGAAAUUAUUUCCAUAUUGAACCUUGGACAUAUAAGAGUUCCGAAUCAAAUCUCUUUAGAAAAAAGAUCUUUUGUCUCAUGGUAGCCUGCUUCAGUCCCUUUAUGAAAAUUUCAUUAUUGGGUUAGUGUUUUCCUGC